ensembl:snRNA U6 U6 spliceosomal RNA
AUGCUCGCUUCUGCGGCACAUGUACUAAAAUUGGAAAGAUACAGAGAUUAGCAUAGCCCUUGAGCAAGGAUGACAUGCAAAUUCAUGAAGCAUUCCAUAUUUUU